GCCUGCUUCUCCCUCUGCCUGUGUCUCUGCCUCUCUCUCUCUCUCUCUCUCUGUGACUAUCAUAAAUAAAUAAAAAUUUUUUAAAAAAAUGUUGACCUUUUAGAAAAUAGCAGAGAACAAAACCUCACUUAUAAUUGUAAGCAGGCGAAAUAACAUUUCCUAACAAAUUGUUCAUAAAAACUAAAUACAUUUCUUCCUGUGAUAUAAAAGCCAAAUCAAUUAGGAUUUAAAAGACAAAAUCAGUGACCUUUUAGAAUUCUUAUAAAUAAGAGAAAUUAAAAUUGUUUCCGUUGAUUUCAAAGGGAAACAUUCUUCUCUAAUAUUGUCAAAAUAUGACAAUUGUGCAUAUAUUAAAUCCAUGAGACACAUAAUCGAGAAGCAGCAGAGAUAUUCCUGAUGGAAAACAGUGUGGGUAAAAAGCAAUUUCCUCUUAGUAAACAAAAAUAGCAAACUUAAUCCUGAUAGAAUUUCUCAGAUGUCUGACUGAAGGAAGGAAAUAGGCUGUGGCAAUUUCUAGUUUGGCACAAAGUGAUGAUUUGCUUUUGAUCCGGCUCGGACUUGCUCUACAUAAUCCCGGGUUUUUUCCACAUGGAUGUGAGCUGUUACCUUCUGUUGUUUAACUAGCAUUUUUCCUCCAAACAAGAGACAAUUUAGGUAAGUGUGGUCUCAGCCUCUUCUGAGUGUCUGCUUGUGUGACUACAAUAAUACAAAUACCAGGAAAUAUGUUCUGUUUUCCUCAAAUAUUACAAAGUCCUCUGCAGGCACACCCACAGCAAUGCCUGUGCCGUGAGUUUAGGAACUUCCAACCCGAUGGCACACUUAAAAGGCAGUAAUGAUGUAGGAACAGUCAGUAUGCUAAAUAAUAGCCCUAGCUGCUUAUCCUCAUGCUAGAAAGCUUUUGUAUUUUAAAAAUUUUAAUACAAAGAUUUGACUUGUUGUAGUUCAAAUAUUGAACAUCCAAGUAUUUUAAACUUGACAAACAAAACUUUUACAUUCAGAUAAGAGUAUAGUUGUGUUUUUUGUGCUUUAAGGGAUGGGUAGGGAAUGAGGGAGAGAGGGACAGUCUUAAGCAGGCCCCAUUCCCAGCACAGAGCCCAACUCCAGGCUUGAUCUCACAACCCUGAGAUGACAUGAGCAGAAAUCCAGAGUCAGACACUUAACCAACUGAGCCACCCAGGUGCCCCCACACAGGUAAUUUGUUAUCCAAGCCAGAACACUGAUAAAGACGCUAAAUAAAAUGUGUUUCACCAGGAGUUCUAACCUGGCCAACAUCUUAAUGAGCAUGGUUCCAUGUGGGAGGAGAAAUUGUUGUUUAGCCUAAGAUUUAUUUAGCAUUAAAACACUGUCCAUUAUUACUUAAGAUUAUAAUAAUUUUCGCUUCUGGAAGAGGACAAUUCAAUUUGUAGUGUUUUGCCCAAUUUAAAAAACAUACAGAACAAAUCCCAAGCUAGGUUUUCUUAGAGUCUGGUAUUUGCAUCUUACAAACUCAAAGUACAAAUGCUCCUCACAUCUUUGACAUAUACCACUGCUAGGAAGAACAUCAUCAAGUCACUUCUACAUCUCAUAAAAGUAUGAUUUAUAGUGUCAGGAUUUUAGAUUUACUAGAAAUAGCCUAUACUUGAGUAUGUAUAUCAUGCUACACAAAAGUGUCCUCUGUUCAGACUGUUUACAAAUGCUUCUGUUCAUCAGGUUGAUUAAUGUACUCAUGUACAAAUCUGAUAAUUAGCUCCUGCAUUUUGAUAUUAGAUUACCCUGUUGAAGAAUAUUCAGAAUUAUUUUGUCUUGUGGGCUGAGGCUGUGGGAGCGGCAGGUGGAUCCUGGCAAUGCAGGUCAUUGACAAACACCACCAUCUGCUUCUCUCUCCUCUGGCACACAGUACAGUACUAGGUAACCAUCUAUCAUUCUGCAACAUUUUUCCUACACUUUUCAGAUGCUGGUCAGAUUCUUGGAUUAAAUUUUUAGAUCUAUUCUGUAAAAGAACAGAGGAUGUCUAUUUGCAGGAUUGACAAUCCAGCCUCUUUCAUAAGUUUUCACUUUCACUAACUUAACUAGUAUACAUUUGGUCUCAGAGUGUCUUCAGGUCCACUUCUUGUCUUCAGUGUGUUCUUCAAACUUUUUCUUCCUGUCACUGGAGGAGAACCUAAUGCACCAAGGAUCUUCCUUGAUGGUUUCAUGUCUUUCUAUAUGGAUGCUAAGGUAAUUGCAUUAGUUUCAUCCAGAUAUUGCCUUUUCUUUUUGGUAAGUGCUUCAAUGUGUUCAUUAAGCCUCUGUCUCUCCUCUUUCCAACAAAGAUCUAUAUUCCCAGUGAUCCUUUCAGAAAGUCCUUGAGCUACUGCAUCAUUACAAAUCUGAAGAACCUACCUCACCAGCCCUCAGUAAUGCAGGGUUUUUUCUAGAAAGGCCUAAGGUAUCUCCUGAGGUCAGUAUACCUCCAUACAUCUCAUACUGUUUCUUAAAACAGCUUUAUUGACUUACACAGUAUAUCAAUUAUAUAUCAGCAAAAAAAAAAAAAAAAAAA
rnacentral:lncRNA from 1 species